AGUUUGAUCAUGGCUGAUUGAACGCUGGCGGGAUGUUUUACACAUGCAAGUCGAACGGCAGCACGGACUUCGGUCUGGUGGCGAGUGGCGAACAGGUGAGUAAUGUAUCGGAACGUGCCCUAGUAGCGGGGGAUAACUACGCGAAAGCGUAGCUAAUACCACAUACGCCCUUCGGGGGAAAAGCGGGGGACCUUCGGGCCUCGCACUAUUAGAGCGGCCGAUAUCGGAUUAGCUAGUUGGUGGGGUAACGGCUCCGCAAGGCGACGAUCCGUAGCUGGUUUGAGAGGACGACCAGCCACACUGGGACUGAGACACGGCCCAGACUCCUACGGGAGGCAGCAGUGGGAAUUUUGGACAAUGGGGAAACCUGAUCAGCCAUCCCGCGUGUGCGAUGAAGGCCUUCGGGUUUAUCGCUUUUGGCAGGAAGAAACGGCGGGAUAAUACCCGUGCAACUGACAGUACACCUGCCGAUCAGCACCGGCUAACUACGUGCCAGCAGCCGCGGUAAUACGUAGGGUGCAAGCGUUAAUCGGAAUUACUGGGCGUAAAGCGUGCACAGGCGGUUCGGAAAGAAAGAUGUGAAAUCCCAGAGCUUAACUUUGGAACUGCAUUUUUAACUACCGAGCUGAAGUGUAUCAGAGGGAGGUGCGAAUUCGUAGCAGUGAAAUGCGUAGAUAUGCGGAGGAACACCGAUGGCGAAGGCAGCCUCCUGGGAUAACACUGACGCUCAUGCACAGCGUGGGAGGCAAAACAGGAGGAUUAGAUACCCUGGUAGUCCACGCCUAAACGAUGUCAACUAGCUGUUGGGGCCUUCGGGCCUUGGUAGCGCAGCUAACGCGUGAAGUUGACCGCCUGGGGAAUACCUGCGAUGCCAAAGAUUAAACUCAAAGGAAUUGACGGGGACCCGCACAAGCGGUGGAUGAUGUGGAUUAAUUCGAUGCAACGCGAAAAACCUUACCUACCCUUGACAUGUCUGAGUCCCGAAGAGAUUUGGGAGUGCUCGCAAAGAGAACCGGAACACGGUGCUGCACCAAACAUCGUCAGCUCGUGUCGUGAGAUGUUGAGUUAAGUCCCGCAACGAGCUGUAUAUCAUUCAGUUGCUACGAAAGGGCACUCUAAUGAGACUGCCGGUGACAUGGCUCCGGAGGAAGGUGAGGAUGACGUCAGCGAUCCUCGCGGCCUGCUCGGGUAGGGAGCUUCACACGUCAUACAAUGGUCGGGACAGAGGGUCGCCAACCCGCGAGGAGGGAGCCAUCCAGAAACCCGAUCGUAGUCCGGAUCGCAGUCUGCAACUCGACUGCGUGAAGUCAGGCUCGCUGGUAAUCGCGGAUCAGCAUGUCGCCAGCGGUGAAUACGUUCCCGGUCCCCGUACCUGCCGUCACACCAUGGGAGUGGGUUUUACCAGAAGUAGUUAGCCUAACCGUAAAGGAGGGCGAUUACCACGGUAGGAUUCAUGACUGAAGUUGAUCUGCUCGGAAACCAA
rnacentral:rRNA from 1 species